AUAUGCACACACGCUCCCAGAAUGCGAGUUCCCGGCUGGGUGCUGGAAGUCGGUAGCUUGCAGAAAGAAACUCCAAAAACUCCAUAAAAGAGAUUAAAAAGGGAUGAUUUAGCAACAUCGCGUCGACACCGACUGAUACACGGAUCUCCUCUGGACCGGAACACUCGGCUCCCCAUCCAGACAUUUUUUGAACAUGCUGAUGCCCUGAUCAUUAUCAGCCUCCAUGAGGCCGUGCUCCACAGAUGGCUGUGUUGCCAACUGUUUAAAAAACUGUAAAAGUAUUUAAAAAGAGUGCUUUUAAUGAGCGAUGGUUCCCCGCACUGGACGGCGUGCGCCGCGUCGACAGAAAGGAGCACAUUCACGUUUUAUUUGCCUCAUUCCUCAGCGCCGUCGCCCUCACUGGCUCCCCAGGCAGCAGCGGCCCAUUAAGAGCCCAUAAAGACACAUGCUGUAUUCAGCACCGGAUCAUUCAUAUCUCUGCCGUAAACACACGUGCGCACAAACAGAUACGCACUGGCUCACAGCCGCACACACUCUUACACACUGCAAACGACAAGCUGUGAACAUCAUCGCAAAAAUCGACCUUUUAUUUUACAUUGACUUAUUGGUAAGACCAUCGCAAUACUAACUACUAACAUACUAGUCAUUUUAAACCCAGAGGGAGAGGUCGGCUUUGAACAGAUUUCAAUGGUUUAAUGUUACUGAUUAUCUUGUCUAGUACACGCAUUUUGAUCCCAUUUCCAGGCCUUGAACGAUUCGCGACUCCCAACACCUAUGGAAGGGAUAAUGUAUAGAACGCCGAUCAUUAUCGGGAAAAUAAGCCCCGACUGGGCGAACCGGACACCGAUGCAAAGCGGAGGUGUCUUGCUUCACCCUGAAGGGGCUUAUUUUCGAUAAUGACCGUCGACGUUCUACACAUUAUCCCACUUAUUACACGGCUACUUGCAAAAACAAAACAAUAACUUCACAUGGUUUGUCUUUUUACAAUUUAUUUGUUACCAGCAUUUGUAGUGCUGAUCAGCAGAGAAAUAGUCCACCAAAGACGUUGACGUCGCUUAGCAACCGAGAACGCUGGGUUGAUAAGGUACCGGACUACUUGCGGAGUGGUACGAAAGACGGCAAUCAAUCCACUUUCCUUGACAGCGGUCAUUAUAUGGUUAGCAACGGUGAAUUAUCAAAAGAUUAUUCACCUCUGGAAGUUGCGAAGGCCCAUGCAAGUGAACGGAGCGUUCCACAGCAUUGAGAAGAGCUGUGUAAUAAAUCAGUAAUAAUCCACAAAAACUAAAGUUCUUCUGCAGUACAUACUUCUUUCACCCCUCUGGGGUCUCCUCUGGAACCCUGACCACGCGGGGGCCGGGGAACCCGUCUCCGAGCUUUGGGACCCCCAUCAAGGUCCUCCUGCAGCAACCGCGUCUCACCCUGGGACUGUGGUUCCUGGGGAUCCACUGUCCAUCCGCAUUUCUGUUUCCAGAUAUCUUCAACAGAUAUCAUCCACACAGAACGUGACGUGAAGGAUUCCUCUCAGUGAUGUUUCACUACGUCUGCCCGGUCCGCCUCCUAGCAGUGCCUAGAAGAAAGGAUCGCUCAAGGUGUCUUCUCUGGGUUCUGAAGAGCUUUGGGACUGGCCCCUGGGUGCGCGUCUACGAACCCAGGCCCUGCCCGGGAACCCUUGAGCAUUUAGCAUUUAGUCAGACAACUUCCCCUUCACUCCUCUGAAGUUCACUCGUUCAACAAAGUCUUUAUGGAUCAGUGCCGGUGCCUUAAAUGUGGAGGAGCCGUAGGCAGGAGGAACACAAGGUUAUCCCUCAGUCAUCCUCCUCCUCCUCCUCCUCCAACUCCAUCUCCUCCACCUCCUCCCCCCCACAGUCCUCCACCCCCCCCAGUUUUGCACACAGCGUCCUCCACCCAAAGUCCCAGUCCUCCACCCACA
ensembl:lncRNA